AGUUUGAUCCUGGCUCAGGGUGAACGCUGGCGGCGCGCUUAAUGCAUGCAAGUCGAGCGUGAUCGUGGCUUCGGCCACAAUGAUAAAGCGGCAGACGGCUGAGUAACGCGUGAGUAAUCUGCCCUCCGGUGGGGUAUAACCUCGGGAAACUGAGGAUAAUCCCGCAUACGACCUGCAUCCCUUGGGGUGCAGAUGAAAGGCUUCGGUCGCCGGAGGAGGAGCUCGCGUCCUAUCAGGUUGUUGGUGGGGUAAAAGCCUACCAAGCCGAUGACGGGUAGCUGGUCUUAGAGGACGAUCAGCCAGAGGGGGACUGAGACACGGCCCCCACUCCUACGGUGAGGCAUACCAGGGAAUUUUGGCAAUGGGCGAAAGCCUGACCCAGCGACGUCGCGUGGGGAAUGAAACCUUAAUCUGUAAACCCCUUUUCCGCCAAGAGAAAGGACGGUACCCGGGGAAUAAGCUUCGGCUAACUACGUGCCAUCAUCCGCGGUAACACGUAUGGGGCAAGCGUUGUCCGGAUUUAUUGGGCGCAAAAGCUCUU
rnacentral:rRNA from 1 species